GAGGGGAGGGAAGGAGUUGGAUGUAGGCCACCAUUCGGGACAAGAAGGGACAAGAGACCCCCCGACUGGAGGCCUUUUAGAAUCCAGUCGGACCAAUCACAAGCAAGAAGGGGUGGGCUACUCUUCAGAUGGCGCUAGUGUUGAGGCGCGACUGAAGGCGCAGACAAAAGAAAUAGUAAAGGAAAAAGAAAAGCAAAAAAGUUCGAUCAAUAGACAGACGGGCCAAUGACAGGCUAUGCAAGGGGCGGUCAUUUUCCCCCCUUCAUAUCUUUCACUCCUGUCACACACAUUCUACACCAUGCUGCAUUCUCUUCAGUCCACCACGCAGAUUUUUAUGAAUGCUAAUAAAAAAAACGGUUAUUUUUUUCCCCCUGUUUCUUCGUGUGUAUAUUGCUUGGGAUUGAAGUGCGAGAUCUGAACAGCUGUGACAUUGGCCCUCCCUCGACCCGAAAGAAGGAAAAAAGUUAUUCAGUGUGAAGACAACAACAAAAAAAUUGAUGGGAGAUUAAAGAUAAGUCCAUCCUCAGACUUGACGAAAGGAAAAAGAAGGGAAGAUGAAAAGACGGAAGAAGAAGAAAGAAAGAGAAAAAAAGAAACCCUCUUGGGAGAAGCCGGAAUAAGAAGGGAAAAGGAAAACAUCCAUGUCAAAAGAACUCUAGCUCCCUCCUAUUGGCUUGAUUGCACUAACACACACACGCGCUGCCCCGUUUCCCUCGCUCGGCUACACCACGCGCCAACAAGACUUAAUACACCGUGGUAGGCUAUCGCUA